rnacentral:rRNA from 1 species
CCUGAUCCCAUGCCGAACUCAGCAGUGAAACCGCUCAGCGCCGAUGGUAGUGUGGGGUCUCCCCAUGUGAGAGUAGGUCAUCGUCAGGC